rnacentral:rRNA from 1 species
GGUUAGUAAUGGGUAGGUAACGUACCCUGUGCUUUGGGAUAGCGUCAUUCGCCUUCGGGCGAAUUUCCGAAAGGGGCGGUAAUACCAAAUAAUAUCAUUUGUCGAUAGGCAAAUGAUCAAAGAUUUAUCGGCAUAGGAGCGGCCUUCCUCCUAUCAGCUUGUUGGUGAGGUAAUGGCUCACCAAGGCAGCGACGGGUAGCGGGACUGAGAGGUUGACCCGCAACAUCGGGACUGAGACACUGCCCGGACCUCCACGGAGGGCUGCAGUAACGAAUCUUGCGCAAUGGGCGAAAGCCUGACGCAGCGACGCCGCGUGUAGGAGGAAGUCCCUCGGGAUGUAAACUACUGUCAGGGGGAAGAAAGUCCACUCCGGUGGAUUGAUCUAACCCACAGGAAGUCACGGCUAACUUCGUGCCAGCAGCCGCGGUAAGACGAAGGUGGCAAGCGUUGUUCGGUAUUACUGGGCUUAAAGCGUGUGUAGGCGGAAAGGUAAGCGUCCUGUGAAAGCCCCCGGCUUAACCGGGGAAUUGCGAGGCGAACUGCUUUUCUUGAGGCAAGUAGGGGUGCAUGGAACUCUUGGUGGAGCGGUGGAAUGCGUAGAUAUCAAGAGGAACGCCGGUGGAGAAAUCGGUGCACUGGGCUUGUUCUGACGCUGAGACACGAAAGCGUGGGGAGCGAACGGGAUUAGAUACCCCGGUAGUCCACGCUGUAAACGAUGCC